CGGGUUGUAGCUCAGUCUGGUAGAGUACCUGAAUGGGGUUCAGGUGGUCGGAGGUUCGAAUCCUCUCAACCCGA
rnacentral:tRNA from 1 species